rnacentral:misc_RNA from 1 species
CAUAAGUCAGCUGAUUCCUAAAUCUUUUUAUAUUUGUGGAUUGAAAUUCUUCAACAGAGAAGUUUAUCGCGAAUUUAUUUAACAACAAACCGUAUCCCCUAGCUAUAAUGGAUUGGAUUACUGUGCUAGUGCUAGUUGUAUUUAGUGUCCAAAUAACUCAACAAGUUGAUUAUGACUGCAAUGAUCUAUUAAUGGGUCAGUAUCUAUGUCCAGAUCCAACUAAAAAACUAAUCGAUCCCAAAACGCAACAAUUUUAUGGGUGUACAAAAGAAAAUAAAGCAAGAGUUCGGUGCCUAGCUGUCGAUGGCAUAAAUUGCACGGAAACUGGCAACAACACCUUCACGCGCGAAUUACCAUGCAAGUGGACAAAUGGUUAUCACCUUGACACCACAUUGCUGCUAUCCGUGUUCUUGGGUAUGUUUGGUGUCGACCGUUUCUACUUAGGCUAUCCCGGUAUUGGUUUGAUAAAAUUCUGUACAUUGGGUGGCAUGUUCCUGGGUCAACUAGUUGACAUUGUCCUCAUAGCUACACAAGUUGUAGGCCCAGCAGAUGGUUCAGCAUAUGUGAUACCAUAUUAUGGGGCGGGAGUAACAAUUGUGCGUAGUGACAAUUCAACGUAUCGCUUGCCACGCGAUGACUGGUGAAACAGAAGUAAUUAAUGUAGUAAGCAUUAAUGCCAUCUGAAGAGCUGGCAGCGUUAGUUGUUAAAGAUAACUGGGUUUUAGCAGUUUUAGAUUUGAAGCUGACUUUUUCGGUUUAGUUUACC